rnacentral:rRNA from 1 species
UACGAAGGGGGCUAGCGUUGUUCGGAUUUACUGGGCGUAAAGCGCACGUAGGCGGAUCGUUAAGUCGGGGGUGAAAUCCUGGAGCUCAACAUCCCAGAACUGCCUUCGAUACUGGCGAUCUUGAGUCCGGAAGAGGUGAGUGGAACUCCUAGUGUAGAGGUGGAAUUCGUAGAUAUUAGGAAGAACACCAGUGGCGAAGGCGGCUCACUGGUCCGGUACUGACGCUGAGGUGCGAAAGGCGUGGGGAGCAAACAGG